GAUGAACGCUGGCGGCGUGCCUAAUACAUGCAAGUCGAGCGAACAGACGAGGAGCUUGCUCCUCUGACGUUAGCGGCGGACGGGUGAGUAACACGUGGAUAACCUACCUAUAAGACUGGGAUAACUUCGGGAAACCGGAGCUAAUACCGGAUAAUAUAUUGAACCGCAUGGUUCAAUAGUGAAAGACGGUUUUGCUGUCACUUAUAGAUGGAUCCGCGCCGCAUUAGCUAGUUGGUAAGGUAACGGCUUACCAAGGCAACGAUGCGUAGCCGACCUGAGAGGGUGAUCGGCCACACUGGAACUGAGACACGGUCCAGACUCCUACGGGAGGCAGCAGUAGGGAAUCUUCCGCAAUGGGCGAAAGCCUGACGGAGCAACGCCGCAUGAGUGAUGAAGGUCUUCGGAUCGUAAAACUCUGUUAUUAGGGAAGAACAAAUGUGUAAGUAACUAUGCACGUCUUGACGGUACCCAAUCAGAAAGCCACGGCUAACUACGUG
rnacentral:rRNA from 1 species